UGAAAUAUGGUCGUGACGUUGUUCAACCAAUAUUCAACUAUGGACGACCAUACGGAUAUAUAGCCAAUGUAUAUACAACGUUGAUUCAACGUUGUUUAUGGUCGAAGUUUUACAUUUAGUUUAAUCAUUAUAUAAACUUUUAUACCACUAAUUUUGUGUUAUUAUUCCUUUAUUGAAUUAGUCUGUAAGUGAUUUCUGUCAGGAAAAUUUGCGUCACAAUCUUUUUCCGUAUAGAUCUAUUCAAAAUUAGCGCUGAAACAAAUAAAAUUGGGAAUAAUUUUUCACUUUCUAUUAACGCUUUAAAUAUUAGUUAAUAUGUUUUGUUGUUUUAUUUUUUAGUUCUUUAUGAAUAAUAUUAAUUAAUAAAUUGGUAUUAGUCAAAACCCCGUUUAUAAAAUAACGCUGGUCAGGGGAAGUAAUUGCUGCGGUCUAUGAUUUUGUUUGUUGUCUAUGAUUAUCGUUCGUGCAAAUGGUGGCGCUGUUUAGAAAAUUUGAAAACAACACGAUUGGCAAUUUAUUUGGAUUUCGGAGAUCCUGGCCCUGGUUGAAAUUUAGAGUAUUGCAGCUGUAGCCUGUAUACCAUACAUUCAACAUGAAAAGGACUGUCAGGAUGCUGCAUAAAAUGGUCUUAGCUAGAGCCUAGAAUGUUCAUUUCUUGGGGAAUAUGCUGCAAGGAACUGACGGGGGGCAGUUUUUCUUACCAAUCAUAGGUGAGACUUUUAAAUAGCUUCUUUUUAAAAAGAUUUUGUUGUCUUAUAUGCAGUAUUUGCUGUCAAUAUGAAACUUAGAUAUGUUUCAAUUUCUAUGCUGUUUUAUGAUGUAAAUUAGAGAUAAGCAUUUUAAGAUGAAAACAAAUCACUAAGUUGAGUAAUUGUAAGUAUAAUUUGAGAUUGACCAAGUCACUUUUAACUACAAACGUCUUAUUUUUAUUUGCAGAAGCAGUACUAAGAGACAGCCAAAGAAGUACUCAAACACUUGACAUACCCAGAAAGAUCUAGAACAGAUUGUAGUUUAAUUGUUAAAACUAUUAAAGUGAAUUUAAGCUGCACUUGAACUGUAAUUUUGAAAUAAAAUAUCUGAAGUAUUUAAUAUUGUCUUGAUAUUUUGUUAAACUUGGUUACU